AAUCGCCCACCGAAGGAAGAGUUGGUCACAGAACGGGGUAGAUGACACAGGCCCUUCCUGCCAACUUCAAGAAAAUGUCUGUGCAAUGACGAGCUACUCUGUAAAGCACACACAAUCCCCAAUGCCGUGACACCUCCCUCCUAGGUAUUACUCUGUCUCCAAGAGACCCAAGCUUAGCUAAAGCUGUUAAUGUGCAUGUCAGAUGAGAUUUUUCUUUUGUCUUGUUAUGUGUCUUGAGAGCUUGGCUUUGUGACCUUUCUUGUCUCCGCCAUCAGGAGGAUGAACAUACCAGCACGAAUCUUCGUGGCCUGCCUGGAGGACCAAGAAAGUAAAGGAUUUGUCUUCCUCCCCUACACAGGGAACAGAAAAGAAUUUUUUUGAAAGGUCUUAUAGUAUCCUGAUAGAAAUUCUAGAGUGUAUCCACAGAAACAAAGAUAAGAUUCAGCAGUGGGUUUUACCUACACUACACAUCUCUGACUGGGAGCAAUCGAGAGGAAAGUGGUAUUACAGAAAGCGGUGUAGCAGGACUCAUCUUGACAAGGAGAUUCGUCGAACUGAAAUUGGUGCUGUUUGUAGACCUUGAAUGAUUAGCUAUCUCUGUACUAAUAUUCAGGGAUUCAAGCGAAGAAGACAAAUCAAUAGUGCUUAUAUUGUCACUGAUUAUAUUGUCAAAUCUAUGGCUAGGAUGUGCAAUUUUCUAUAAUAUAAAGAAGAAAAUAUCCAAAUGAUCUGAGUUUGUGAGUCUGUCUUCAUCAAUGUUUAGGGCAAGAAAAAAGCCCAUAUGCUUUAAAGCAAGAAGAGAUUUAAUCAGGGAAUUUAGUACCUAAACAUUGUUGGAAGGGCCUAAGGAGCAUAUUAUAGGCUAGACCUCUUGAAUUACUACUAGAACAACAUGGAACUGAA
rnacentral:lncRNA from 1 species